ACACUGAGACAUGCAGCGCCACCUCUCUCGUAAGCUUGGGCAAUUUCAACAGGAUCGAAGUCCUCUCUUAGGAUUCCUCUGCUUGGAGAAGCCUUCUUCACCUCAGCAAUCAACCCAGGAAGUCCAGUUUUAAGAUUAGCUUCCCUGAGAGCUGCAAUAAAAUCUCUGGAAGGAGGAGCAUUCUCAAGAGAUUUCUUCAGCACAGAGAAAGGUAUCCUCUUUUUCAACUGGGAGACUUCCAUG
rnacentral:misc_RNA from 1 species